GGUUGAUCCUGCCAGUGAUCAUAUUCUUCCAUCAAAGACUAAGCCAUGCAUAUGUGAGACUAAGCUUAACAGCGAAUCUGUGUAUGGCUCAAUAUAUGAAUGAUAACCUCCCCGAGGACAAAGUAGCAACUGGAUAACCGUUGUAAUUCAAGGGCUAAUCAUGCAUCAAAAGAGUUCGCAAGGACUCUGCAUUUGUUAGCACAAAAUCAACACAUUGAUGAAUCAUGACAAAUUGCGGAGCUUCUUUUAUAGAAGCCGACUCGGUCGGGUCUUUCCCCUAUCAGGUCUAGUAGGGAGUGUAUUGUACUCUCUAGCCUUUGACGGGUAACGAAGAAUCAGGGUUCGAUUUCGGAGAAGGAGCCUUAGAAACGGCUACUACAUCUAGGGAAGGCAGCAGGGGCGUAAAUUUCCCAAUGCUCAACGAGCGAGGAAGUGACGAUGGGUAAAGGGUUUGUGGGUUUAACCUAUAAACUAUCAAUGAGUAAAACGUACAAACGUUUGCGUGGAUCAAUUGGAGGGCAAGUCUGGUGCCAGCAGCCGCGGUAAUUCCAGCUCCAAUAGGAUAUAUCAAAGUUGUUGCAGUUGAAAAGCUCGUAGUCGAGGUUAUUAGGGCGGGUCGGGGCAACCUGACACGUCCUAAAUUUGGGGACAAACGGUCUGGUUGGCCUUUACUGGUUGGCCAGAUUGCCCCUCCGUCACUGAGAGCAAAAUGGAGUGCUCAAAGCAGGCUUUUGGCUUUGAACAUAUCAGCUUGGAAUGACAAAGUUUGACUAUGGUCGCCUUUGUUGGUUUAACGACAGUAGUAAUGACAAAUAGGAACAGUUGCGGGGGUACUCGUACUGGAAAGUCAGAGGUGAAAUUCUUGGAUUUUUCCACGACGAACGACUGCGAAAGCAUUUACCAAGGAUGUUUUCAUUGAUCAAGAACGAAAGUGCGAGGAUCGAAGAUGAUUAGAUACCAUCGUAGUUCGCACCCUAAACGAUGCCGACUCGGGGUUGCAUUGAAUACGUUACAGUAGCAUUGCAGCACCGUAAGAGAAAUCAAAGUCUUUGGGUUCCGGGGGGAGUAUGGUCGCAAGGUUGAAAUUUAAAGGAAUUGACGGAAGGGCACACCAGAGGUGGAGCCUGCGGUUUAAUUUGACCCAACACGGGGAAACUCACCAGGUCCGGACAUGAGAAGGAUUGACAGUUUGAAAGCACUUUCGAGAUUUCAUGGGUGGUGGUGCAUGGCCGUUCUUAGUUGGUGGUGUGAAUUGUCUGGUUGAUUCCGAUAACGAUCGAGACCUUUGGCGUAUGUUACCGAAGGCUAGUGCAAGCUAACCCUAGGACACAUCCGCGACUAUUCGCUUCAAGCGAAGGGAAGCCAAAGGCAAUAACAGGUCUGUGAUGCCCCUCGAUGUUCUGGGCUACACGCGCGCUACAAUGACGAAUUCAGCAAGUUUCUCCUUGCCCGGAAGGGCUUAGGUAAUCUCAAAUGUUCGUCGUGAUGGGGCUAGAUUAUUGCAAUUAUUAAUCUUCAACGAGGAAUCUCUAGUAUGUGCGAGUCAUCAGCUCGCGCAGAAUGCGUCCCUGCCCUUUGUACACACCGCCCGUCGCACCUACCGAUUGGAAGUAGGGGUGAAGUGUUGGGAGUUUGUGGUUGUUGGAGCAAUCUGACGGCUAUGGAUAAACUUCUCUGAGCCCCCUCUUCUAGAGGAAGGUGAAGUCGUAACAAGGUU
rnacentral:rRNA from 1 species